GCAGUGGUAGUUUAGUGAUAGAAGUCUUGCCUUUCAUGCAGGAGACCCUGUUCAACUCCUGGCCAAUGCA
rnacentral:tRNA from 1 species